GACUAAUUUUCGUUAUAAGUUUAGUAAGACAAACGGACAUUUGCCAAUGAAUUUGCAGAAAACAAGUAGUUUUUUGAAAGCCAUUUACUCCAUUGGAAAAAUUCGGAUACCAGGAUACUAAGGAGAUCCAGGGCUAUAUCUUCUAUUUCGAACAUUGUUGGAAUUAUAUACAGGGUACGUCGUUUGUCGGCAAAAAAUUCUAAUAGAUCCUAGAAAUGUCCGCUUUUGUGGGUAAAUUAAUGGCCAUACAUGAAAAACUUUUAAAGAUGUGAUAAUUUGAUAUGACCAGUAUCGUAAACUGUGUCGAGAGAGAGUUUAAGGUUUCGUGUAUAAUACAGGGAACGCAAGAUUUGAAAAACUAUAAUUUUAAAUUGCAAUUAAUUACCAGUUCAAAUUUUGAUAUUUACCGAAGUGUGCCGUAACUUUGAAGUUCGAAGAGAUGUGAAGGACACUUUAUACAGGAUGUAUUCACAAUCAAAUUACAUCGAUUUUGUGAAAGUUCCAUAGUGGUCCACAGGAGCACGAUAGAAAAACAUUGCGUCACUAUAGGACAAAAAUCCGCGAAGCGCCUUCUUUUUGAAAUAAAAAGCGCUACGAGCUGCGAACUUGCCCCGCCCACCGACGAUUUUUCAAAGCAAUCCUGUUUGUUUUAGAUUCUUCCCAAUUAAUCAUCUAAGUGAGCGAGAAGAUGGACAACAGUAACAGUAAUUUGCCGACAACUAAGUAAAGUGGCCAAUCCCAGUAAUCGUUAAAACCAGGAAAAGUCCACAACUAUCAAUGAUUUUUGGAUUUGGUAGGACAUGUUGAUGGUCUAUGUAGUUUUCGCAAAAAACAACUGUUAAAAAUUUUGAACUGAAACGUUUUUAAAAUCAAUUAAUCAAAUGACCAGUUUGUUUCCUACGAAGCUUAAUUUUCAACCUAGCGAUAUUGGCAGAAUUAGACUGAAUAUUUAAACUCUACUACUAAAUUGUUUUAAUCACCUGCGAAUUUUCUCAUGAGGCUAAAGAAAUGCUUUGGUAAGGUGAAGCUAACAAUUUUAAGCGGCAUGCAAUUCCAAAUGUACGAGCUGUAAUCUUUUGAAACACUACCGAUGUAUAGCAACGAGGUUGCGAUAAUUAAAAACAGACUUUACUUAUACUUAUUUAUAGGUGCCCGUGAUACAAAAACCUUAUCUCCAACAAAUCGGAAAUCCUAAAUUGAUUGCAAUAUUUUGUUUUCGAAAAUUGGGCCAAGGCCAAAUUAUUUCCAAUUGCAGGAAUGCGAUUUUUUGCCUUUCACGACAAAUGCAAUAACCUCUCCAAAAAAAUUAAAAAUAAAUAAAUAAAGGGACGUUUUAAUUGGUUUAAACAUUUGCACACAUAUCAUCGAGCGUGUUAUCGGCAUUUGCUAUUCCGUUCCCACAAUGCAAACUUGUUUACAUAUAAAUACGUAUUGACUUAACAACCAUGGAUUUUAUGUCACAGCAAGCAAGGGUCAAAAGACUUUGUUACUAGAUGAACAACUUCCUCCUCGAUCUUUGACCCUUCAUUUUUGCUUGUUUAUA